UACGGAGGGUGCAAGCGUUAAUCGGAAUUACUGGGCGUAAAGCGCGCGUAGGCGGUUUGUUAAGUCGGAUGUGAAAGCCCCGGGCUCAACCUGGGAACUGCAUACGAUACUGGCAAGCUAGAGUGCAAUAGAGGGGGGUAGAAUUCCAGGUGUAGCGGUGAAAUGCGUAGAUAUCUGGAGGAAUACCGGUGGCGAAGGCGGCCCCCUGGAUUGACACUGACGCUGAGGUGCGAAAGCGUGGGUAGCAAACAGG
rnacentral:rRNA from 3 species